CGAAUCCCCGCCCGCCCAGUCGGGCGCGGGACAUGUGGCGUACGGAAGAUUGUUUUCCCGGUGUCGGCGUGGGGCCGAGUCCUUCUGAUUGAGGCUCAACCCAGGGCGGUGUGAGGCGGCGCCCGAUGCCGGCGCUCAUCAGACCCCAGAAAAGGUGUUGGUUGAUAUAGACAGCAGGACGGUGGCCAUGGAAGUCGGAAUCCGCUAAGGGUGUGUAACAACUCACCUGCCGAAUCAACUAGCCCUGAAAAUGGAUGGCGCUGG
ensembl:lncRNA